rfam:Schistosoma rodhaini strain Burundi genome assembly, scaffold: SROB_scaffold0000209
AGAUAAAUGAGGAGUCCCAUAAUAGGACGAAACGGCCGUCCAGUGU